rnacentral:lncRNA from 1 species
UGUGUGGAAACUGGGAUUUGAACGGCGGGCAGGAAGUACUCGAGUAGGGAGUCUGGCCUAGUGAAAGUCUCUGUUUCCUCCUUUUCUUACUUUUCACUCAAUAAAACCCUGCUUUACACACCCUUCAAACCAUCUGUGAGCCUGAAUUUUUACGGCCAUGGGACAGACAAGGAUCCUGUCUUUAUCUAAACUAAGGAAAAGUCCUGCAACAUUUGUGGUGCACAACGUGGGGCUCGAGAAGUGGUCAUCCAAAGUCCAGCUACCACAAUAUGUCUGGAUUGAAUCUUAAGGAUUCUUCCUGUUAUUCAUGAAAACGCCUAUUUUGGAGUGAAACCAGGGCCGCCUUAUGAGCUAAACAGAGUGUGUUACAGCUUCAAUAGACUAAACAAGCUCUAAAUUUAUCUUCCUAUGGUCACGGGAUCUCAUAUAUUCUGGCUGUCAUUGUCAUAAUAAGCCACUCUUGGUCAUAUGGAAAAGCAUUCAGCUGCUCCCUGCCUUUGCUCACAGCGUGUGGUACUCUCUUAGAAGCUAUUCCUGGUUCAUUGGUAAUUUGCUAAAAGAAUGCCAGUGGGAACAGAACAGAAGCAUUUUCAAGAUUAAAUUGGCAAUGGUUGUGACUGAUUGGAUGAAGGAAGUAAGGGGGAGAGAUUCAUCAGAGAAAGAAGGCUUCUUUAAGCAGCAGAAUUGAGGAAUGAGUCAGAAAAUAAAAGAGCAAACAGGAUGAGAUGGUAACACCAGAGGUCUCAGUAACAACGCUUCAGGGAAAUAUUUUUAGGAUCUGACACAUUCAGCAGAGAAAAGGAAGAUGAAAAACUGGCCUUUUCCUGAAAAUGUGAUAAAAGCAACAUCACACCUCAUUGGCAGAAGGGACUAGCCUUAUCUGAGUCUUUGAACUUGAACCUUUGAGUUAAUGCUAGAAUGAGGAAUGCUGAAGAUCACAGGGAGCCCUUGGAAGCUAGGAAAAGGCAAUGAAAGGCUUUUACCUAGAACCUGCAGAGACAACAUGGCCCUACUACCUCUUGAUUUCAGAAUUCUGGUCUCCUGAACUGAAAGAUUAAGGAAUAAGAAUAUCUAUCUUAUGCCUAUUCCAACUUCAGAGGGAGCAUCACUCUGUAGAAACCUUGAUUUGAACUUCUGGCCUUCUGCACUGGAAGAGAGUAAAUUUCUGUUGUUUUAAGCUACCAAGUUCAUGGUUGUUUCCAUUUCUUUUUAAGUUUAAGAGCAUAUUUUAGAUUCCAUCUUAAGACAAUGUAACAGCUGUGAGUCUUUUCAUGAGAAAGAAAAGAAGGCAGUUAGUCUAUAAUGAAGAUGAACUGUCAAGAGCAUGUGAAGGGGAAAGGGGUCUUCCCUGGCACCAAUCAGUCAUUUAUAUUUUACAAAACAAUGCAGGAACCUUAAUUCCUGCCUCCUCAGAAGAAAGAAUUUGACUAAGGAGCAUAAGGCAGAAGAAGAGACAGAGGCAAGUUUCCGAGCAGAAAUGAAUGUUGAUUUAAAAACUUUAGAGCAGAAAUGAAAGGAAGUAAAUUACACUUGGAAGAAGGCCAAGCUGGCAGAUUGACAGAUCAAGUGCACAGUUUGACUUUUUGACUUGGGGUUUUCUAUGUUGGCAUGCUUCCAGAGGCUUCCAUCCCUUCCCCCGAUUCUUCUCUUGGGGUGGACUCUUUGCCUGUACAGCGACCUACCAGCAUGUGGGAGGGGUUGUACACGCAGUGUGUUUACUGGAGUUGUGCACAUGCUCACUUGAGGUGUUCUGCCUGUACCAGCCUGAAUGUUCCUAGGUCGUAUACCAGUUAAACUCUGCCUUUUUGCCACUUAAUGCACAUGCUUGAGCCCACUCGCCCACCUCCUGAGAUCUAAUUGGGAAGCUGGUGAUUACCAGUUUCAGGUUUGUCUGUUUAUUAAGAGGUGUUUAUUUUCCUUGGUGCUGGCUGUGACCAAUUUUUUUUUUAGAGAUACAGCUAACAACAGUCUGACUGUCAUCUAAUGGUCACCUGAAUUCCUGGCGUGUGUGUGUGUGUGUGUGUGUGUGUGUGUGUGUGUGUGUCUGGUGUGCUCUCCUACUGUGCUCAUGUCUGACCUACUGUAACCAAAUGGGCCAUCAAAUUAGAGAAAAUUUUUGUGUUUCAAUAGAAACCUGUAUUUUCUACAGU